rnacentral:rRNA from 1 species
UAAAGGCAUGGUCCUGACCUUAUUAUCAGCUCUUACCCGACUUACACAUGCAAGUCUCCGCAAUCCCGUGAGUAUGCCCUCAAUCCCCCGCCCGGGGACGAGGAGCGGGCAUCAGGCACAAAUUUUAGCCCAAGACGCCUGGCCAAGCCACACCCCCAAGGGAAUUCAGCAGUGAUAAACAUUAAGCCAUAAGUGAAAACUUGACUCAGUCAGGGUUAAGAGGGCCGGUAAAACUCGUGCCAGCCACCGCGGUUAAACGAGAGGCCCUAGUUGAUAAAACCACGGCGUAAAGGGUGGUUAAGGAAAGCAAAGCAAAUUAAAGCCAAAUGGCCCUUUGGCCGUCAUACGCUUCUAGGUGUCCGAAGCCCAAUUAUACGAAAGUAGCUUUAUAAAGCCCACC